rnacentral:rRNA from 1 species
UACGUAGGGGGCAAGCGUUGUCCGGAAUCAUUGGGCGUAAAGAGCGCGUAGGCGGUCCGGUAAGUCCGCUCUGAAAGUCCGGGGCUCAACCCCGGGAGGCGGGCGGAUACUGUCGGGCUAGAGUCCGGAAGAGGCGAGUGGAAUUCCUGGUGUAGCGGUGAAAUGCGCAGAUAUCAGGGGGAACACCAAUGGCGAAGGCAGCUCGCUGGGACGGUACUGACGCUGAGGCGCGAAAGCGUGGGGAGCAAACAGG